CAGCAGUGAGGAAUAUUGGUCAAUGGACGAGAGUCUGAACCAGCCAAGUAGCGUGCAGGAUGACGGCCCUAUGGGUUGUAAACUGCUUUUGCGCGGGGAUAACACCCUCCACGUGCUGGGGGUCUGCAGGUACCGCGCGAAUAAGGACCGGCUAAUUCCGUGCCAGCAGCCGCGGUAAUACGGAAGGUCCGGGCGUUAUCCGGAUUUAUUGGGUUUAAAGGGAGCGUAGGCCGUGAGGUAAGCGUGUUGUGAAAUGUAGGCGCCCAACGUCUGCACUGCAGCGCGAACUGCCCCACUUGAGUGCGCGCAACGCCGGCGGAACUCGUCGUGUAGCGGUGAAAUGCUUAGAUAUGACGAAGAACCCCGAUUGCGAAGGCAGCUGGCGGGAGCGUAACUGACGCUGAAGCUCGAAAGCGCGGGUAUCGAACAGGAUUAGAUACCCUGGUAGUCCGCGCGGUAAACGAUGGAUGCCCGCUGUGGCGCGCCUGGCGUGCCGCGGCUAAGCGAAAGCAUUAAGCAUCCCACCUGGGGAGUACGCCGGCAACGGUGAAACUCAAAGGAAUUGACGGGGGCCCGCACAAGCGGAGGAACAUGUGGUUUAAUUCGAUGAUACGCGAGGAACCUUACCCGGGCUUGAACUGCAGGAGAACGAUUCAGAGAUGAUGAGGUCCUUCGGGACUCCUGUGGAGGUGCUGCAUGGUUGUCGUCAGCUCGUGCCGUGAGGUGUCGGCUUAAGUGCCAUAACGAGCGCAACCCCUCUCCGUAGUUGCCAUCGGGUAAUGCCGGGCACUCUGCGGACACUGCCACCGUAAGGUGUGAGGAAGGUGGGGAUGACGUCAAAUCAGCACGGCCCUUACGUCCGGGGCCACACACGUGUUACAAUGGCCGUCACAGAGGGGAGCCGGGCGACCGGCUCAUGAUCCUUAAAAACGGUCUCAGUUCGGACUGGGGUCUGCAACCCGACCCCACGAAGCUGGAUUCGCUAGUAAUCGCGCAUCAGCCAUGGCGCGGUGAAUACGUUCCCGGGCCUUGUACACACCGCCCGUCAAGCCAUGAAAGCCGGGGGCGCCUGAAGUCCGUGACCGCAAGGAUCGGCCUAGGGCGAAACUGGUGAUUGGGGCUAAGUCGUAACAAGGUAGCCGUACCGGAAGGUGCGGCUG
rnacentral:rRNA from 1 species